CGGGAAGGGGGCGCGGUCGCGCCCUCCCCUAAAAGGAGGGUGAGGAAAGUCCGGGCACCGUAGGGCAGGGUGCCAGGUAACGCCUGGGCGCCGCAAGGCGACGGAAAGUGCCACAGAGAACAGACCGCCGAUCCGCCUUCCCUCGGGGAAGGGUCAUGGAGGCAAGGGUGAAACGGUGGGGUAAGAGCCCACCAGCACCCCGGGAGACCGGGGUGGCUCGGCAAACCCCACCCGGUGCAAGGCCGUGUGCGGGGAGGGCUUGCCCGGCCCGAUCGCACCCGCGAGAGCUGGCCGCUUGAGGCCACGGGCGACCGUGGUCCCAGAUAGAUGACCGCGCACGACAGAACCCGGCUUACACCCCUUCCCGCCGG
rnacentral:RNase_P_RNA from 1 species